UCAUUUGAGAGAGCCCGGGGGGCCGCUUUGGAGCCCUCUGUGACAUGCCACAGCAGCUGCAAGGAGGCUUCCUUCUCCAGAUGAUAGCCCCAAAUAUCACGCAACAGCGUCUCUGUUCAAGUGAAAGUUCAACAAUUCUAGUUUGGAAUUAUCCGCUGGUGAUGAAAUUCUCAGAUUCAAAGAGUUACUGCACUUUUGUCCCCGAAGGAUGGGGGCUUUGGUGAGCCUGCCAUGCAGUAGUGGUUCCAUUCAGAUGCCGACUUAAGAAAUGAAAUAGGAUUCCUGGAUCAGCUGAGUUUGGAUCAAAUUUCUUUGGGAAGGAAGCUUCCUGUCUUGGUCAGUUUGCCAGCUCUCACUUGAGUGUGGGCUCUCUCAUGGUGGUGGUGGCCUGUCCAGGCACCAGGGCUGACCUUGGUCUAUCAGCAGAUCCGUUCCUGAUUUCUGCCAUGUGUUCCUCUUUGGAUGCCAUUUUGGAAAUUCUGUAACUCCGUCAGGACUUUUGGAUAUUCUCCGCAUCUUGUUUGGUUUUCUCCUUUGCAAAUUGAUCA
rnacentral:lncRNA from 1 species